GCAUCGAUUNAAAAACGCAGCGAAAUGCGAUAAGUAAUGUGAAUUGCAGAAUUCAGUGAAUCAUCGAAUCUUUGAACGCACAUUGCGCCCGCCAGCAUUCUGGCGGGCAUGCCUGUUCGAGCGUCAUU
rnacentral:rRNA from 1 species